rnacentral:tRNA from 1 species
GUCGCUGUAGCUUACUUAAAGCGUAACACUGAAGAUGUUAAGAUGGGCCCUAGAAAGCCUCACCGACA